GACGAACGCUGGCGGCGUGCCUAAUACAUGCAAGUCGAACGCUUCUUUCCUCCCGAGUGCUUGCACUCAAUUGGAAAGAGGAGUGGCGGACGGGUGAGUAACACGUGGGUAACCUACCCAUCAGAGGGGGAUAACACCUGGAAACAGGAGCUAAUACCGCCUAACAGUUUAUGCCGCAUGGCAUAAGAGUUAAAGGCGCUUUCGGGGGUGGUUGAUGGAUGGACCCGCGGUGCAUUAGCUAGUUGGUGAGGUAACGGCUCACCAAGGCCACGAUGCAUAGCCGGCCUGAGAGGGUGAUCGGCCACACUGGGACUGAGACACGGCCCAGACUCCUACGGGAGGCAGCAGUAGGGAAUCUUCGGCAAUGGACGAAAGUCUGACCGAGCAACGCCGCGUGAGUGAAGAAGGUUUUCGGAUCGUAAAACUCUGUUGUUAGAGAAGAACAAGGACGUUAGUAACUGAACGUGCCCUGACGGUAUCUAACCAGAAAGCCACGGCUAACUACGUG
rnacentral:rRNA from 1 species